rnacentral:snoRNA from 1 species
GUAAUGCCAGAGCAAAUGAAUGAUUGGGUGUCCAUAUAACUUUUCAUAGUUACAUUUGGCCAAUAAUCAUUUGGACAGAA